UACAGAGGUCUCAAGCGUUGUUCGGAUUCAUUGGGCGUAAAGGGUGCGUAGGUGGCGCUGUAAGUCGGGUGUGAAAUCCUGAGGCUUAACCUCGGAACUGCAUUCGAUACUGCGGUGCUUGAGGACUGGAGAGGAGACUGGAAUUCAUGGUGUAGCAGUGAAAUGCGUAGAGAUCAUGAGGAAGACCAGUGGCGAAGGCGGGUCUCUGGACAGUUCCUGACACUGAGGCACGAAGGCCAGGGGAGCAAACGGG
rnacentral:rRNA from 1 species